UCCCAGUCCUGCACUCAAAAUACCUUCUACAAUUUCAAUACAUUCAUUUCUUGCUGUUGGUCUAGAGAGAGUAAAGCCCAGAGUGUGAAGCACACUAAGGCUUACCCACUCAGGUGUUGGCGGAACGUGGUUCACAGAAUGGGGUUUAUAUCUUGUUUUGCAGUUGCAUGUUGCACCCCUGAAUGUCCCCAUUCCUUAUCUGAACCCAUCGGUGACCCCGGAUGACAUAGGCAAAGACUCAGAGAUGGGGGAGUCAUUCUUAGAGACUUGCUGGGUGCAAACAGAUGGUCACAAGGCUCUGUGGAUUUGGUGUUGGAUGUGGGACUGGAAAAGAAGACAGGAGAGCGAGCGGUGGUGAGCUUCUUGCAGCUGCUUCCAGAUCGUCCGGGUUCCUAAAAUGCUGCUCCCUUUCUGAUGACAGGUGGAGUGAAGCAGCCAUCUUAUUGCCAUCCUCACUGUGUUCACCUUAGAGCAUGAUCUAUG
rnacentral:lncRNA from 1 species